AUUGAACGCUGGCGGCAGGCUUAACACAUGCAAGUCGAGCGGAGCGGCGGACGGGUGAGUAAUGCCUAGGAAUCUGCCUGGUAGUGGGGGAUAACGUCCGGAAACGGGCGCUAAUACCGCAUACUAUCAGAUGAGCCUAGGUCGGUUUAGCUGGUUGGUGGGGUAAAGGCCUACCAAGGCGACGAUCCGAAACUGGUCUGAGAGGAUGAUCAGUCCCCCGGGAGCGGUGACACGGUCCAGACUCCUACGGGAGGGAGCAGUGGCGAAUAUUGGACAAUGGGCGAAAGCCUGAUCCAGCCAUGCCGCGUGUGUUGAGAAGGUCUUCGGAUUGUAAAGCACUUUAAGUUGGGAGGCGUUACCAGCAGAAUAAGCACCGGCUAACUUCGUGCCAGCCGCCGCGGUAAUUC
rnacentral:rRNA from 1 species